rnacentral:rRNA from 1 species
UACGUAGGGGGCAAGCGUUGUCCGGAUUUAUUGGGCGUAAAGCGCGUGUAGGCGGCCAGGUAGGUCCGCUGUGAAAACCCGAGGCUCAACCUCGGGACGUCGGCGGAAACCAUCUGGCUAGAGUCCGGAAGAGGAGAGUGGAAUUCCCGGUGUAGCGGUGAAAUGCGCAGAUAUCGGGAAGAACACCCGUGGCGAAGGCGGUUCUCUGGGACGGUACUGACGCUGAGACGCGAAAGCGUGGGGAGCGAACAGG